rnacentral:rRNA from 1 species
GAACGCGAAGAACCUUACCAGCCCUUGACAUCCCGGUCGCGGACUCCAGAGACGGAGUUCUUCAGUUCGGCUGGACCGGAGACAGGUGCUGCAUGGCUGUCGUCAGCUCGUGUCGUGAGAUGUUGGGUUAAGUCCCGCAACGAGCGCAACCCCCGUCCUUAGUUGCUACCAUUUAGUUGAGCACUCUAAGGAGACUGCCGGUGAUAAGCCGCGAGGAAGGUGGGGAUGACGUCAAGUCCUCAUGGCCCUUACGGGCUGGGCUACACACGUGCUACAAUGGCGGUGACAAUGGGAUGCUAAGGGGCGACCCUUCGCAAAUCUCAAAAAGCCGUCUCAGUUCGGAUUGGGCUCUGCAACUCGAGCCCAUGAAGUUGGAAUCGCUAGUAAUCGUGGAUCAGCACGCCACGGUGAAUACGUUCCCGGGUCUUGUACACACC